UACGUAGGGGGCUAGCGUUGUCCGGAAUUAUUGGGCGUAAAGAGCGUGUAGGCGGUUCGGCAAGUCGGGUGUGAAAUUUCGAGGCUCAACCUCGAAACGCCACUCGAUACUGCUGUGACUGGAGUCCGGUAGAGGAGUGCGGAAUUCCUGGUGUAGCGGUGAAAUGCGCAGAUAUCAGGAGGAACACCAACGGCGAAGGCAGCACUCUGGGCCGGUACUGACGCUGAGGAGCGAAAGCGUGGGGAGCGAACAGG
rnacentral:rRNA from 1 species